ensembl:lncRNA
AGUAUACAGUUCAGGACCAGCCUCUCUGCUUGAGACAGAAACACUUAAUUUUCUCUCAGAUUUUCAUGUUUCUUACACUUUCUGUGUUUUCUUGAAUGUUAUCUUAGCUUCUCCUUACCAGAUAAAGAACUAAUGCUUUAGUAUAGGGGACCAAAUAGAGAAUUUGGGGAAGCAAUGUGUGAGGAGCAGUUGAUAGAAAGAGCGUUGGGGCUGGGUUCUCAUCCUGCCACUGCCUGUAGUUGGCAGUGUGACUUGGACCAGACAACAACGAUAGUGACCAUAUUAGUGUCCUAGGGCCACCAUAGCAAAAUACCACAGACUGGGGGGCUUAAACAACAGACAUUUAUUUUCUCACAGUUCUGGAGGCUGGACGUCCAGAAUCAAGGUGCCAGCAAUAUUGGUUUCUCCUGAGGCCUCUCUCUCUGGGCUGCAGAUGGCCACUGCUUGCUGUGUCCUCACACGGUCUUCUCUUUGUGUGCACGCUCCCUCGUGUCUGUCUCCCUUCUUAUAAGGACACCAGUCAUUUUUGGGUUAGAGUCUGCCCAUAGGACCGCAUUUCACCUUUAAAAAAAUAUUUGUAAUGCUUUAUUUUUUAAGCAUUGUGAUAUGAACAGUGAACUGAGUAUAGUAUUUUUUAUUAAAAUUGUGUUCUGAAUUUUAAAAAAGUUCACAAAAGCGGAAAGAAUAGAGAAACCAACUCCCAUGUAUCUAUCACCUUGCUUUAAGAAGUAUCAACUCAUAAAUAACCUGAUUUCAUUCCCACAGACUUAACCCGCAGUGCCUCCCAGAGAGCACAUCAUUUUAUAUAUAAGUAUUUUUAAAAAACUUUUUCCAAUUUUAUUGGGAUUUUAUUGACAUAUAAUGUAUGGAAGUUUAAGGUGUACAAUGUGAUGAUUUGAUAUAUGUGUAUACUGUGAAAUGAUGACCACAAUAAGAUUAGUUAACACCUCUAUCUCCUCACAUAAUUACCAUUUUUUUAUGGGGAUAACUUUUAAGGUUUACUCGCUUAAUAACUUUCAAGUACAUAAUACAGUACAGCUAAUUAUAGUCAUCGUGCCACACAUUAGAUCCCCAGAACUUAUUUAUCUUAUAGCCAAAAUUUUGUACCCUUUGACCAACAUCUUCCCAUUUCCCCCACCCCCAAGCCCCUGGCAACCACCAUUCUACUCUCUAUGUCUUUAGUUCAGCUUUUUUAGAUUCCACAUAUGAGGGAGAGCAUACGGUACUUGUCUUUCUCUGCCUAACUUAUUUCUCUUAGUAUGAUGCCCAUGUUGCCACAAAAGGCAGGAUUUCCUUCUUUUUUAUGGCUGAUUAAUAUGCCAUUGUAUACAGUACCACAGUUUCUUUAUUCCUUCAUCCAUUGAUGGACACUUAGGUUGUUUUCACAUCUUGACUAUUGUGAAUAAUGCUACAACGAACAUGAGGGCACAGCUAUCUCUGCAAGAUGGUGGUUUCAUUUCCUUCAGAUACAUACCCAGGAGAGAGAUUGCUAGAUCAUAUGGUAGCUCUAUUUUUAAUUUUUUGAGAAGCCUUCAUACUGUUUUCUGCAUUUAACUUUCAUUGCCUCGUUAAAGGCCCUGUCUCCAAAUACAGUCACAUUGGAGGUUAGAGCUUCAGCACAGGAAUUCGGGGGAGAGACACAAUUCAGUUUGUAACAAUGAUAAUAAUAAGGAUACUAAUAUAGAAGGCAAUGUUUAUGGAAUUGUUACAUAUCCGAGACUCUGCUAUAAUUGUUGUCUAAGGAUUAUCUCAUUUAAUUUUCACAACAUUCCUAUGAAAUAGGCAAUAUCAUUAUUAUUUCCUUUUACAGAGGCACAAAAGCUGCCCAAAGAAACACACCCAGUGAGUUCUAGGGUUAGUAUUUGACUCUAGAUUCCAAGCUCUUUUCUCCUAAGCUGCAGUCUCCAAACACCCGGGGAAUUUGUGUGCAGUGGAUUGGACACUGCUUAAGAUCUCUUCCAGUUCUAACAUUCAAGGUUUUAUUUGACUACGCUUUGUUAUUUAUUGAAUAAACUACUUCUAAGGAAGGCCCAGUUCUGGGUGCUUUGGAAGAUGAUGAAAGGGAAAGGGGCUGGUUUUACUCUAAACUUCCAGCCCCGGGCCAGGCCCUGGUCUCUUGCGUUAUUGCUGGUGGUCAGAUCCCUUGUUUGGAUCCUGGUCUGUUUGGGUGCUUGUGGCAUUCCCUCUGCCUGAAUUUUGUGUCGGUUCCUUGUCUCCUCGCACAGAACAGUUCCUAAGGGAUGUGAGUUUUCUCUUGCUUUCAGCAGGGUUUCUGGGAACAGGGCAUCUGCCUUGGAACCCAAGUCCCUGCUCCCAGUGACAGUGUGUCUGCUGCCACCUGUCUGUCUGUCCCUCUACCGUUCACCUGCUUUAGGCGCCAGAGGCCCCCUUUCUUCUCAGAUGGGGGGGGGGCUAGUUGAUGACCUACUUUGCUCCAGGAAGCCAGUGCAAUGCCUGGCCCCCAGUUCUGCCUGACUUAGCCCUUCUGGGCAGCUGUCUGGCAUUUAAGAGAUGAGGAAGGCAAAACUAGUAAGACGGGGACCAAAUACUUAGCUUUAAACCCACAAUACCCUGGGUCAUUAAAGUAAGGGCAUUACAGUUCUAACUCUCAGCUUGGUGCAAGAUUACAUUUCAGGAGGUGUCCCAGUUGCCUGCCAGUUACUGCUUUUACGUCUUGUGAUUUCUGGCAGCCUUCUAGCACAUGCUGGCAUUUCAGAUUCACUCGGUACAAUUAAAGAAAUUGCAUGACUGCUAGUUUCUCCUCUUUCCCCCCUCAGAUAAAUUGUAGAAUUCCACUUGAUUAAAACAUUUAUUAAGUGAGAUUUAAUAGAUUCCAGUAAUGGUGUGCGUGUGUAUGUGUGUGUGUGUAUGUGUGAGUGCAUUCAUUAUCCAUUUCUUCUAUGUGUGCCAAGAAUGGCCAUGUGCGUAGAGAAUUGUUCAUGGAACUCACUUUAUUCUGCAAUUUACCAGCAAUGUCAAAUUAGGAGGUUUAAUGGAUUCCUACACAGAAAUUCCUAGUGUGGUUGUAUCAGCAGCAAGUUUCAUUAAAAAGGGCCAUUUUUCUCUACUGGGAUUUCAGUAAAGAGACAAUGUUUAUUUUUUCAGUGGAAAAUUGAUUGUAACUAAGAGGAUACUUGGCUUGAAAGUGGGGAAUUAUCAUAUCAUAUGAUUAAAUGAAAGCUUACCUUGUUAUAAGGUAACUAGACAUAUCCCAGUAGAAUUGAGACAAUGUUUGAUUAAGCCAGAUUUUCCUACUUUAUAUUCAAGGAACAAAUUAAAGAAUAAUUGAGAUCCUUUUCAGAUCUUUUAUAAGCUGCAUAUAUAAAGCUUCAGCUCCAGGUGGCAAAGCAAUUAGCUGAUGAAUAAAAUCAACCCCACUGUCAUUCGUCAGAUGUUUAAAUUCUAUAAAGCAGAUAAAUUAAUGUGUUCCUUAAGCCAAAUAAAUGGUCAUGCUCUCCAUGUUACCACUCAGUUCCCUGGGGGAAAGGUUGGAAGCGUGUUCAUAGAAUGGCUAGGAUCUACUUAAUCAGAAAGGUUGAAAUUAAGUUGCCCAUUUGAUUUUCUGAAAUAAAUGUCCAUCUGGCGCAAAACCUAUUUUCCAAGCAAAGUUGUUCGAUAUGAUGGUUUGGCUUGUUUAGUAAACUAAAGAUGAGGCUGAACUCAGUGUUGCACUCUCCUGGCUCUUAUAGUUAAAGAUUUUUCCGUUUCUCUGUACUUGGCAUUGAAGUUAUUUGUAAGCAACUGAAAGUGCUCUGGUUUCAUUUAUUCCUUGCUCCUGAGUAUUAAUGCAGAGAAUUAGAACCUCUGCUGGCUUGGUGCUUCCAGAUUUAUUUCUCAGAGAUGAGUUUCCUGGAUAAGUACAACUUACCACCACUGAAUGAUGACGUGGUUGGCUUUUUUGACAUUGACAUCUAGAUAAGGCAGACAGUGCUCUGGGGACAUUAUGUUAUUAGCUGAUAAUUAAUUUUUGUUGGCCACUUCUCCUUCUCUGCUAUUUCUAUUACAAGCAUUGCUUUCAGGGCCUGCUGAGUGGUUUUCUAUUCUUUGCCACCUGGUUUGCUUUCUGUGGUAUUGAAACCUCCGUCACUAUGGAUGCUACUCAAAGUGUGGUCCUGUGACCAGCAGCAUCAGACUCCCCUGACCUAUUGAAUCACAAUCUGCAUUUUGUCAGAUUCACGAAACAUUAAAGUUUGAGAAGCACUGUGUUAGAGGGUACCCCCUCUCCAGAUAUGGGCAGGGUUGGAGUUAUGAAGUGUAAGUAUGUAGCCAAUGGGAAUAUCUAGUUUGUCGAUUUUCUGAACCUUAAAGUCUGCUCUUUUUCAUAUUUUAUUUCCAUUAGCCACUAGCACUUAAAAACAAGGUUAACAAAAAAGAAGAGCUAGAACUCAUUUAUUAUGAUAUUGAUUAUUGGAGUCCAGCAUUCUUCAGGAACUCAAAGAAAAAUUGGCAAUUAUUUAUAGAAAUUGAAUUUAGGUCUUGCAGUCAUUACCAGGAGAACUCUAGAUGAAUUUUCUCGUUGAACUUCUGGGUAGCUAUCUAUUAAGUGCAAAAUAUUGGUCCCAGUAUGGCAGAGUAGAGAGACAACUGGAUCAGAUGCUCAGGCACCAACUUUUUAUCUGAUUACGGGCCAGCUGUUUCACUUUGAGCUUGAUUUCCUUGUCUGUAAAAUGAGGGGUUUGGAAGCAGGUGAUUCUAGGGUCUCUGUAAGGCCUGAAUGGUUAUGAUUUGAUGUGACUGUGUGGAAGUCUGAGUAAGACGUUUUGAAUACAUUAACUCAGAAUUAUUCCAGUGUCUGGAAACCAAUCCCACAUGCAGGUUCUCCUGAUGCUGUUUGAGUAGUUGUGUUUGUUUCACAGCAGUUUGGAAAUUAUCUAAUCACAUGAGUUCCCAGGGAUCAAGAGGCCGACCUUUGGGUAUGAUGUAUGUGCGCGCACGUGCGUGCGUGCGUGCGUGUGUGUGUGUGUGUGUGUGUAUACGUUUGAGCCCAUAGUGGCUAUGAGAAUAUUCAUGUUGCACAAGGACUGGAGGGCGUGAAGUAGCAACAUAAAUAUGUUUUAAUGUAAGGAAGAAUAUGAAACUCAUGAAUAGCAGAGUCAAGCAAAACUCAACACAAUCUUUGCUGUAAAAUGAAAAUUUGAUAUUUUCCCACCCCCUAGUGUGUUGUAUACUGUUAUUUUUCUUUAACCACAAUCUGUCUUCUCUCUCUCUUCCUUCCUCAACAUGUUUUAUUCUGGUUUUCAUUUUUCAUUUGGACACCUACUCUGGGUUGUAUGUGUGUGCAGAAGAAGUUGGGGUGAUUAUCUUUUGUUGCGAAGAGGUAUGGCUUCAAGGUCUGAAGGAGCGUUACUGCAAGAAGUUAGUCGGUGAACAGAAAGCCUUCUGUGUUCUUUUAUAUUCGGAGAGCAGACCUGUCUGAAGGCUGCGUGGGGGAGGAGGGGCCCUGGGAGGCUCCUCCUUUGAAGUUUCUUCCUUUCUCUCUUCUUUCUUAACACAAAACUGGAUUAAUUUCCUACUAUGUGUUCGAAACUGGAGAAACAGAGAGGAAUAAGAUGCCAGCCCUUAAGGGCUCAUAGCUGGCAGAGGAACGCGUGCUCUGUAAUUUCUCUCUCCACCGAUAGCUCUCACUCUGAAUUUUAUUGUGAUGGGAACAUAUAAGAAAAGUCAUAAUGGUUAUUUGAGAACAUUUUCAUUUUCUGGUUCCAUAGUGUUUACUUAAAUUCGUGUAGGGAUGUGCGUGUGUGUGUGUGUGUGUGUGUGUGGAAGCCUUUGAAUAACAGCUCAAGUGAUAUUAAUAAAGCAGAUUUCUGGUCUCCAGAGGAAGGCAGAGGCUCAGGGCAAAGUAUGAUGUAUUUGGCUAAGAGGGUUUAUGUCUUCAAGUGAAUAUGUUAAAAUACAUCCUGGGAUCUUUAAGGGGGCUGCCUUACUGGGAAUUUUCCGGCUUUUAAAAUUGAUCUUUGCAGUUUCUCUGUGUUUUAAUUCUGGAGAGACACCUUUUCUUUCUUCAAGUUUUGCAGGUGGAAGGCUGUGCUUUGUGGAGGCAGAGUUGUGCGAGUUCCAGGGGAAUGGCACUCAGGCUUCACUGGGCAAGAUCAUCACCUGGGCAGCUUGUUCACAAGGCAGAUUCCCUCCCUGAUCUCUUCACCCCUCAAAUUCUGAUGUGUUGGGCACAGAGUGGGGCCCAGUCCCCUGCAUUUAAACAAGCUCCCCUAGGUGAUUCUAAUUUAGGUGGGCUGAAGCUGUGCUGGAGAACACUGGCAUAGCAUUUCACCAUUUGGAUCCUAUCUAGGCAGAAGCCUAUAUACUAUAUGCUUUAAAAGUGUUUUGAAAUCUGUGACUGAAAUACUGCUAUGCAAAGUUGUCAGUUUCAUGACCUGACAAGUGGGCAGAAGGCUCAUGAGGUCAUAUUACGUGAUGCUGGAGAAUUUAAGCUCUGCAGUCAGACUGUCUUGGUGUUAAUUCCCAUUCCUGUGGCUGCUGGCAGCAGUUCCUUGGGCAAGUCACUUAACCUCUCUGAGCCUGCUUCCGCAUCUGUAGAACAGGGAUAAUAAUAAUACCAAUCUACUCAGCUGGUUGUGAGGAUUCAAUGAAAUGACUUGUAUACAAUGUUUAACACAGGCGCUGGCACAGAGUAAGUGUUUAAUAAGUUUUGGCUGCCACCGAUAUUUGUUUGUAAUAGCAAACCAAAAUUACAGUAAGUAGGAUUGCAUACUUUUAUGUCACAACUUUCUUCUUCGGUAAAUCUGGGCACUUUGCGAAGAGUACCAAGUUCAUCAGCACAGACUCCCCAGGAAAUGGUCAAGGAUUCUUCAGUCACUUUACAGUGGCACUUUUGAACUGCGUAUGUCAUAUUUGUGUUAAAUCAGUUGGUAACCGCUUGGUCUCAUUGGUUGGGUAUCUAGGCCUCUUCCAACUCUGGCCACGUAGACUGGUUUCGCUCCGAGAUGAGUACAGGGUGCAUCUUCCUCUUUCAGAGAGUGCACACAUUUGCUUUUGAUGCGAUUGUCAUUUACUUGAUAAACUGGAACAGAUAAUCUCUGUUGAACAGGGUUAAUACCACUGACAGUCAUGGUUUGGAGAACAUGGCUGGAAUGGUCUCAGGUCAAUAACUGCAGAGGAGCCGAGGGAUGAAUGGUGGCAACUCCUCCGGAGACAGUGGGCCUUUUGACUUUGUUUAGGUCUCUGUAUGCCCAUGUACUGCUCCUGGAAAUGGGUGUAGGCUUCACUUACAGCAAAAUCUCGAGAUUGGCCUAAUUGAAGACGGCCUCUUUCCCAGUGCUUUGCGAAAUGCCAGCAUAGACUGGAGUUUUGGUUUUCUUGCUAAUUGAAACGAAGUUUUAUCAGAAUCAUGAGAAAUGAUGAACAGACUUCUUGUUAUUUCUGUCUCACACUAAGCUCUCCUCCAGUGGUCCUCAAACCACUACCCACUGGAAUCGCACACUCUGUUCAACCCCCAGAGCUCUGAGUUAAUCGGUCAGGGAUUUGACCUUGAGACUGGGAAUUUGAAAAGUUCCUCAGGUGAUCCUAAUAUUCAGCCAAGAUUGAGAACCUCUGCUGUACAGGAUAAUUCCACAUGUUGAACCAUCUUGCUUUUUAUGUGCACAUUCUCUGAUGUGUCAAAUUCGUCUUCUCAGCUUUUCCCACGUACUUUGUGAAUUUUCGAAAAUAAAGAGACCUUCAGAAUUACCCUAAACUAGUGGUUCUCGACGGGUGCUGAUUUUGCCGCUCAAGGGGCAUUUGGCGCAAAUGUUCGGAGCCAUUUUUGAUUGUCACAACUGAGCUGGGGAGGAGUGUGUGCUACUGUUAUCUGGUGGGUAGAGGCCAAGAAUUCUGCUAAGCAUCCUACCAUGCUCAGGACAGUCCCCAUAACAGAGAAGUAUCCUGCCCAAUAUGUCAAUAGUGCCAAGGUUGGAAAACCCUGCCUUAGACUUAAUUCUCUCAUUUACAAAUGGGAAAAUAUGGUCCAGAGAUGAUAGUUUGAUUUUCCCGAGGAUUCAUGCGUAAUUAUUGGCAGAACAAAAUCCCUAAGAAUUGUAGCAUCACGGUGGAACCCUGCCCUUAUAUUCCUCCCUGCCUUUUACCUGCUGCCCCAGGGAAAUUGGUUAUUUAUCUUGUUUCCCUUCCUUCUUAAACAUCCCUAGGCUCUCGAUGGCAGGGAUUUGUUUCCUGUAUUUUAGUAUUUCAAAUUUCUUAAAUUUAAAAAAAAAACCCCUACCUAACAUGAAUUGCUUGAGCUCAGUAAACAUCGCUUUCUUUCUGGCUCUAGGAUGGCGUUACGGCAACCUGGUGCUGUGCCUGGCUUGUUUUGUUCUGAUCAGCAGCUCUGACUUGGGCGUUACAGUUAAUCUAUGAUUAAUUUCAAAAAUGGCCAAAUUUGGUAAUUGUUACUUUAUAAAGCUAGAUUGGUCAGCAAAAUGUUUCUAACUUAGGCAUCCACAAAAUGAAAUUAUAAAAUGGCCUCUUGGUGAUGAAAAGGAUGGCAGAGCCUCCUCAGACCAUCUUUAGUGCAGGAUGUGUGUGCGUGUGUACAUGUGUGAGUGCAUAUACGUCUACUUGUGUGCUGCUGGUGUGCAGCCUCUCAGCUCCAGAACCGCUUGAAGAGUUUAGGAGGGUGACGGAGACUCUAGAUUCAAGAGCUGUGAGUCCACGUUUCUUCAUUUACAUAUUCCAUCCAUACCCCCAUCCUCUCCCCAGCUAAAGAACUUAACUGUGGUUAUUUCUGGAAGGGAGAAUUUGGGAUUAUGC